AAGGCUUUAGCUUAAUUAAAGCAUCUGGUUUGCAUUCAGAAGAUACAGGUUAAUACCCUGUUAGUCUUA
rnacentral:tRNA from 1 species